UUGAUGGGCUGGUAACGUUGUGGUUUAAGGAAAGCCAUUUAAGUCUAUAUUAAAUAAAUAAAUAUGGCUCCCAGAAAAGCUUCUCAGAAUUAUUGAGGCUGCCAACCGCCUCGACGGGACGGGGUAUGAGCUCUAAUUCAGGACAUCCUGGCUUGCACAUCCUUUUGAUUCAGGAGAUAGAUGUACCAGGAUAAGUGUGAAGAACGGUGCCCACUAACUGUUGAUCAUCCUGGAGCUGGUCUAUACAUCUUUGGGGGUGUGACAGGCAAUAAUAUCCAGCAGAGCAGAUAGCCUAACCAACAACCCUUCUCUAUAAGGGCUCUGAUGUUGCAGACUACCAAAGGACAGACAACGGUACUAGGACUGAAAGGUUGACUGCCUGGGGUCCUACACUCUGUCCCCAAUUCUGGCCACCAGGGUUCUGGAUCACAAUGUUCCACCGUGGGUCCUGACUACUGAGAACACUACCGGGCUAAACACGCUCAUAUGACAUAUGUCACUUAUCCUUCUGGAUUACCUGGCCUGAUGUCUCCUAGUUGUCCCUGCUCAAAGUCCACCUGGUUGUGUUGCAGAGCUACACAGUGAUUAUAGGCCAUCUGGUUGUGUUGUAGAUCUACACAGUGAUGAUGGGCCACCUGGUCACCCAACUUUGUCCACCUGGUUGUGCAGCUGAUCUGGAUUCUGCCUAAAGACUCAGCCCACCUGUAUUUACUGACCCGCCAGUAUUUGGAACAUGCAAAAAUAUUGGACCAAAAAGGUCAUGUAUUCGUAUGAAUUUCCCCCAGAACAGCUGAAGAGGAGCCCUCAAACUCUGUCUACUCUUUAAGUUUCUUCUUAGGUUCUGUUCCCACUAGUGCCAAUACAAAAUGUGUUCUAUAAAAUGAAUUUGAUGAACAAAUGACACCAGUGGGUGAGUUGAACAAUUAAUAACCCACCCAACAUACGUAUUCUAGGAAAUAAAUCCUCCUGCUCUGAUUUGUAUUGAACACUGAUACAACCUUACAGCAUGAAUAUUUACAGAUGACAAAGGACAACCACUAGAUAAUACACACAAACUACAGCAAUCAGUGUUCAAUUGUAAAUUAAUGCUGACAAUUUUUCAAGCAGUAGAUGAACACAAUUUACUAGGAAUGGAUUAGGUAGACAGCCUGGCAGACUUUCUUAAGUCCAGCCUGACUCUUAACAACCAGUAAAAUGUUUUAUGUUCUAGUAAAAAAAAAAAUAUAUGAGAAUCACAUGAAUGCCUGGACCUGUAUACCACACUUAUUUUGGGUUAAUGAUUUUUUUCUUAAAAUCUAACAUCUGUGGCAGAACAAUUAAAACUCCCCAGUUUGAAUCCUGCCUCAGUCUGAAAUAAAAUUGAUGAAACACUA